GAGCGCUCCCGCGGGGGCUCCGCGAUGCGCCGGCGGCGCGGCCGCUCACCCGAAAUCCUGGUCCAUGGACUUGAAGAAGAACUUGUAGCUGUGCACGGGCCGGUUGCUGAGGACAUUUUUGAAAUCGGCCAGCGUGACUUUCUCCGGCGGCACCGGCAGCUUCACCAGGACAGGGACAUUCACUUCUCAGUGUUCAGCUGCUCUCUGUGAAGGGGUAAAUCACAGCUCAGUGACUGAAUUACCUGUGGCACUGGAGUGAUUUUUCUACCAGCACAAAACACAGGAGCCAACUGUGUUAGUGGCUGCCAGAAGCACUGGAUAAUCCACAACUCAACAAGGUUUAACAACACUGAGGAACCAAAACAUCAUCACCUGCCUGCUGCCAUUUCUGGUUUAGUGAAGGAAUUACAAAAUCACAGCCACUGAGGUUCUCCAGCUGAUGUUCCUGCCACUCAUCACUGCUUGUGUGAUCAUCAAACAGGAUAAACAGCAAGGUAAAGUUCCAUAUCCUGCUUUGAUCCUUCAAAUUCCUGCCCCUGCACCGUCCAUCCAAGCAGCAAUCCAAGCUGUUUCCAUCAGUGUCCCUGGAAGAACUCUGGUGCCAGCUGGGAUAGUGCUCAGGGGGUGGAAACCCUCCAAGAGCAGAAUGUGCAGCAGGAACUUCACAAGGUGUGAGUUCUGCAAGCAAAGAGGAAUCUGGGCUGGGAGUGAAAUAACAUAUUCCAGCAGGAUGUGUUAUCUUCCCUUCUGGACCUGCAAAAUUAAAUCCUGUGGAAGAGCUGCCAGCCUUCCCCUCUGAUGGAUGGUUUGAACUCCAUCUCCAGCUGCGGAUCCGCCCGUUACACAACACUUUUGGAGAGCUGCAAUUUCUCCAUGGGCCCCAUGACCCUGUCAAAUAAUGAUGUCCCACGUGGAAAGGAUAUUGGAAUCACUGGAAUAACUUAUUGAAUCCAAUCUGCACUUUGUAAAGCACUUUAGGAUACUCUGAGAUGAAACACACUGCAGAGCUAUUGGGAAGAAUUAGCUAAUGCUGGCUUAUGGCUCAGGUAGCAUCUCCAAAGAGCAAGAAAUAAAACCAACCUUAGCUGGAAACUCCAUUAAAUUCUCCUUUAUUUCUUAAACACUAGGAAUUACACAGCAAUGGCAAAUGGUAAAAGUUAAGUGACAAUAAUAAUGAAAAUUAAUUCAGUUACAACAAACUAAAAAAAAAAACAAACAACCACAAGCUUUAUGGCCUAAGUCCUUCUCUCAGUCUGGAGAGGAAGCAGAGUAUGCACAGAGCUGAAAAGGGUCUAGUUCUAGUCUCAGUUUUAACCCCUUUCAAGGUCUCUGCCAAACAGCCUUUCCUUGUCCCACACCAAGGGCUGACAGUCCACACAUUAUCCUAAAAGAGACUUUGAUUUCUCUGCCCUCACUGAGGAGGAACUGCUGUAAAAAUUAGGGAUUAUUACUAUUUUAACUAACUGAACACAGAAUGCAUGUCUCAGGAAGCCAGGGAGGCUGUGAUGAGGCAAAGCCUGCAAAGUGACAGGCAAAGGAGUCUGUCAAGGUGCAGAAUUUAAUUGGUACAGGGAGAACAUCAUCUCCAAUAACUCGGGCAAAGCACAUUUACCAAAGUGCUACACACUUUAAAAAAGUGUUUCUCCACCAGAGGCAAGUUACAGCCCCAGAUUAGGGAAAGAAAGGCUGAGAUGAGAGACAGAGAGAGGGAGAGAAAACCAACCUGUCUGGCACUGCAGUGAGUCUGUGGCAGAGCAGGGACAGAGAGCAGUGGUCCUGCAACUUGAACCUUUUAAUUUUCACAUGCAAGAUCAGCUACCUGGAACUCCCCCCCAGUGCCAGAGACUGACAGACUGCAAAGUGCACUGUGAAAAACCUAAGUGGCUUCUCACCACUAUUUAAGGGCAAACAGCCUUUGAUAAUCCCUCUGCAUCAAGAAAUAAACAGCCAGAACUCUUCA